rnacentral:lncRNA from 1 species
CAGAGAAGGCUCCAAAAAGAUGGAUCCCAUCUGGGAAGGUCCGUACAAGAUCAGCAGAGUAGGGGGCAAGAGUAAUUACACCCUCACCACCAUGAAGCGGUAAAAAGAUUGAAAAGAAAUGGAUGGCCUACAAUCUGAAGAAGUACCAUGUGUGACCUCCCGCUACAUCAAAACCCGAAGACUCAAUAAGCUCGACGGGCACCACCUCACAAGCUGAGGACUAUCCAGUUGUUAUGCAGUUCCUACCUUACAGCUAAAGUUCUCGUUCGUUUCACUCGUUUUUCAAUGAGGAAUUUAGAAGUAAUCACAACUUGGCUUGGCUGCAUGCUUAC